UAGCUUGAACAAGUAUCUUAUUACUUUUUCCAGACGGUGCAGGGUCUUUUCAACUCAACAAGUUUCUGUCGGUACAUGGUGGAAAAUCACGUCAAGACCGUUGAAUGUAACGAAACACACCUGUUACGGCCAUUCAGCUUUAACGGAGCUGGUGUGACAACCAAUGUCACUUUGAAUUUGACGUUGGAGUCGACUCAGAGGCUUCGUUUCCCUGACUACGAAUCUAGAGAGACACGAAAGUCCAACUUGUUGUACGAGCACAUUGCUCCAGAAAACAG
rnacentral:lncRNA from 1 species